rnacentral:rRNA from 1 species
GACGAACGCUGGCGGCGUGCCUAACACAUGCAAGUCGAGCGAUGAAAAUACAAAUGAUUCCUUCGGGGAGAAUGCGUGUUGGAUUAGCGGCGGACGGGUGAGUAACACGUGAGCAACCUGCCUAUCACAUCGGGAUAGCCUCGGGAAACUGGGAUUAAUACCGAAUGAAACAUAGAAUUAGCAUUAAUUCAAUGUCAAAGAUUUAUCGGUGAUAGAUGGGCUCGCGUCUGAUUAGCUAGUUGGUGAGGUAAUGGCUCACCAAGGCGACGAUGAGUAGCCGGCCGGAGGGGGUGAACGGCCACAUAGGGACUGAGACACGGCCCAAACUCCUACGGGAGGCAGCAGUGGGGAAUAUUGCAAAAUGGAGGGAACUCUGAUGCAGCGACGCCGCGUGAGCGAUGAAGGGUUUCGAGUCGUAAAGCUCUGUCGAAUGGGAAGAUAAUGACGGUACCAUUUGAGAAAGCCCCGGCUAACUACGUGCCAGCAGCCGCGGUAACAC